rnacentral:rRNA from 1 species
CAGUCGCCGCGGUAAUACGGAGGGGGCUAGCGUUGUUCGGAAUUACUGGGCGUAAAGCGCACGUAGGCGGCGAUCUAAGUCAGGGGUGAAAGCCCGGGGCUCAACCCCGGAAUAGCCUUUGAGUCUGGAUUGCUAGAAUCUGGGAGAGGUGAGUGGAAUUCCGAGUGUAGAGGUGAAAUUCGUAGAUAUUCGGAAGAACACCAGUGGCGAAGGUGGCUCACUAGACCAGUAUUGACGCUGAGGUGCGAAAGCGUGGGGAGCAAACAGGAUUAGAGACCCCAGUAGUCCCUGUCUCUUAUAC